rnacentral:rRNA from 1 species
CAGUUGGAAACGGCUGCUAAUACCGCAUAAGCGCACGGUAUCGCAUGAUGCAGUGUGAAAAACUCCGGUGGUAUAAGAUGGACCCGCGUUGGAUUAGCUAGUUGGUGAGGUAACGGCCCACCAAGGCGACGAUCCAUAGCCGACCUGAGAGGGUGACCGGCCACAUUGGGGCUGAGACACGGCCCAAACUCCUACGGGAGGCAGCAGUGGGGAAUAUUGCACAAUGGGCGAAAGCCUGAUGCAGCAACGCCGCGUGAGCGAAGAAGUAUUUCGGUAUGUAAAGCUCUAUCAGCAGGGAAGAUAAUGACGGUACCUGACUAAGAAGCACCGGCUAAAUACGUGCCAGCAGCCGCGGUAAUACGUAUGGUGCAAGCGUUAUCCGGAUUUACUGGGUGUAAAGGGAGCGCAGGCGGUGCGGCAAGUCUGAUGUGAAAGCCCGGGGCUCAACCCCGGUACUGCAUUGGAAACUGUCGUACUAGAGUG